UACAGAGGGGGCAAGCGUUAUUCGGAAUUACUGGGCGUAAAGAGCGCGCAGGCGGUCGUUCAAGUCGAGUGUGAAAGCCCCCGGCUCAACUGGGGAGGGUCAUUCGAUACUGAUCGACUUGAAGGCAGGAGAGGGAAGUGGAAUUCCCGGGUGUAGUGGUGAAAUGCGUAGAUAUCGGGAGGGAAACACCAGUGGCGAAGGCGACUUCCUGGCCUGUUCUUGACGCUGAGGCGGCGAAAGCUAGGGGAGCAAACGGGG
rnacentral:rRNA from 1 species